AUAAGGAUAUUCCCGAGGGGAUA
rnacentral:siRNA from 1 species